CUGCAACCUUCCUGCAUACUGUAACCAGAUAUCCCCACCAUUUGUUGUCGCUGCAGUGAUCCACAGGUCACGAGGAGUUUGGAGACGAUCCCAGCUGCCGUAUGGCAAAAAAGUGCGGUAAAGUCUGGACAUGUUGCCAGUCUACUGCAGGACAAAGGUAGACCUAUAACCAUUCACACCAACAUUCAGACCUAUCACCAAUUUAGAAUCACCAGUUCUUCUAAUGGGUUUACUGAGCUUGGACUGUGGGAGGAAGCAUAAGUACCUGGAUGAAACCCACGCAAACAGAUCAUUCACCACAUGGAGAAACCGUGGAGCCACUGGAGGAGACGUCAAGUGGACUGAACUGCAGGCCUCUUGUCAGGGUGCCCAUAGUAUGCGAGCAACCUUUCAACGCAACGCUUUUGUAGGGUAAAAAUGCAGAAUGAAUAGUUAUUCAUGUAGCGUGUUAGGUGGGAAAGAAAUACAGCCUGGUUAUUUUGCAUUAAGGGCUUUGGUAUUUAUAGUGGUGUGAAAUAAUGUGAAACACAGUCUAAUAUCCUCGGGGAUUUAGCAUAAAAAAUACAUGAGAAAUAAACCUUUUCUUGUGUUUCGUGCACAGAAACUACUAGCUUCAAAACAGCAAAAUAUUUAGAAAUAAAAAAACUGUGGAUCCUAAUUGUCACUCGUGUCUCUUAUUCUUAUUGCCUUCUAUUGUCAGAUAUAAAAGACUCAAGCUAAAGUCAUAUCAGCCCAGCAGCACCAGCAGAUUUUCUAUGGCUUAUUUUACUUAAAAAGUCAUCUUUUUACACAAGUUAUCCUCUCAUUCUGAGCAAAUCAGGGUUAAAUACCGUGAAACUAGUAGCCUCUCCGCUUUUGUACUCUUGUGCCAGAAAAGAAAAAGUCCCCCCACGUCUGGGGACAUGCUUUCUUCUAAUUGGCUCGGAGAUCUGGGGCUCCUUAGAAGCGAGGCUCACAGCUCUGCAUCUUCCUCGCCUUGCUCUGGGGCACGCUGAUAGUAGGAAGCUGCAACAACUGAGGAGCUUCCUUCUGAAAUUUGAUCUGUACCUCCAUAAAAGUGUCAGGACGUUUUCCCUGAGCAUCAAACCGUGUGCCCAAACUGACUCUGACAGGAAGUUUAGAUAACAAAAUAUUUCCAAAACAAAUGUCACAAUGAAGCAUUUUUAUUACUCUGUCCUCGUUUUUCUUGUGUUUUAAUGCGUUUGCGGGUGGUUUGGAGCAUGUGUGUCUGUCUUAACUCCUAAACCAAAUAUUUUGCUGGAAUAUGAACCCUUGUUGAUGUAGUCUGCAUAAAAGGUCAUUUAGUGGCUACAAGAAGGCAAUAAUAAAGCAUGUCACCGUGUGUAGUAGCUCAGUUCAUCGCAGCUCGGUAUAGUUUCAAAGCCAGGGCCAAGCUUUCUUUUUCUUUUCUUUUCUUUCUUUUUUUUUAAACCCAUCACUUUGAUUUUCAAACUAGUGGCUCAAGAAAACAUUGCUUUAGGCAUCUAUGUAACUUCAAGCAUGACAUUGAUUAUCUUAGCUUCAUAAUUAUCUCCACAUGUUACUGUACCACUGUAUUUCACAUGCAGACUAGGCUG
ensembl:lncRNA